rfam:Salmo salar isolate Sally breed double haploid chromosome ssa15, whole genome shotgun sequence.
UGUACGCAUGCUGACUAAGUCGCUUUGGAUAAAAGCGUUUGCUAAAUGGCAUAUA